rnacentral:lncRNA from 10 species
ACUGCCUUCCAGCCACUCUCCCCUGCCUUUCCUUUCUGCGGCUCUUAGGAUGUUGUUGCUGCCCUUAAAGGCCGUCGUGUGAGUGCCCUGUCAGAAGAAAGCUUGGUGGUGGUUAGGAUUUUACAGAAGGAUAUGAGAGAAGAGUCAAAGGAAAUUCUGAAUUUUGGACUGAACAGCUUAUUAAUGGAGAGUUCAUUUAUCCAGGCGGAGCAGGUAUGG